rnacentral:lncRNA from 1 species
AUGUCUACAAAACCCCCGGCAGCAAGGCAAUUUUUUUUUUGUCACCCUCUCCAUUUGGAGGUGAUUAUUUGGGGAAAUAUAAUUAGAGGUUUUGCACACAAACAGCAGAAAUACACGGCUGAAAAUUUAAAUCUGGAGAUUUCAGGGGAAGGAAUGUUUGCUGAAAAUGUUGUGUGCUCAAUUCACCCAUCAAAAAGGUAUCAAAAAGACCUUCUGGUUUCUUGCCUGAAUGGAGAGGAGGAGGGGUUCUUCAUGAGUGCAAGAAAGCCAGAGGAAUUAUGAAGAAAAGUGAAGCCCAAAACACAUUGUUUUGUGAAGAAAAAGUAAAAUAUGUAUUUAUUACAACUAUUAUUUACAAAGGUCUUCUGUCUUCUCUGCUUUCUAUUGUGUGAACCCAAAACUGAAAUUGCUAAACCAAGAUACAAAAGCAAAUUAUUCAAGACUGUCUUUCUGGAUAUUGUGAGUUAUAUGAAUAAGGCUUUGUGUCUCUACUAUGAUCAGUAAGCAAGAAUACAUUACAUAAAGGUCACAGGCUUAGUGACAGAUGCUCAGAAGUCUUUAUCUAAUAGCGCUUCAUGCAGCCUAUGUGACCACCACUCUGUACCAAUUCCAUGUUUGAUCCUAAAGCCUGGCACAUAUUUUUACUUCAGCAACAACCUCCCUCUUCAUACACGGGACCCAGUGCACACCUAAGGAGCAACUUUAGUCUUUAUGGACCUCUCCUGCCCACUGUCGAACAGUAGGAGGAAGCACAUUGGCUUUGCAAGCUUCUGACCUACCCCAAAUGAUCUUUUCUUCCCUUGCAGCAUUUGUUUUUUCUUAUUCUUCCUUUAUCCAUCCAGUUCUGAGCCAAUAUUUUUUCCUCUCUUUUGUGAGAGAAAAUUGUGUCUUUGGAAGUGGUGUCAGCAGCAAACGCUGGCACCUGGAGUUGACCUCAGACAAUGAGUUGAGUUUGGGUUGGAAGGUGGCCCAGUCUGGAGGAAGGGUGUCCCUUUUUGAAGCAGUAGGUACAUUGCAUUGGCAAGAGGGUGUAUCAUCCCUCUAGCUGGGGACUGGACAAAUAGACAAGUUUGGGGAUACAAAAUCUGACAUUGCGAUGGCUCUCAGGGCAAAUAGUACCCCUGGAGACCUCCCAGCUCAGUGCAGCAGCGAGUUUCAUCUUCUAGGGCUUGUGCUUUAUAUACCCUCUUGCAGCUACAUGUAUUAUCUGUUGGGUUGAUUAAUAUUAGCUUUUUCUUCCAAAACAGUUGUAUUUAACUCAGUUGGAGUUUUCUACUACCUAUUUAAUGUGAUCUGAAGACACCCAAAUGAGCAAGCACCUUUUGGGUAGUACGUGCGUCUUCGUGGAACAGAGAGUUUGAGCAUGCAGCUGGCAGGGAGCUGGCUAGCAUGCACAGGGCUGGACUCAUCCUCCUCUUCAGGGAUGAGGCACGUAGCAAUAGGCAGUUUUAUUCAGCUUAACACCCCCCCCCCCCAGCCAGGCUCUUCGUUAGCCGAGAGGUAACUAACAACAAUAACUCACAUGCCUGAGAAUCACCGCUUGUAUAAUUAACUUGUGACCUGCCUGAAAUACCUUUAAAUGAAAGUUGUUUUCCAGCACACUGGUUAUUACUUUAUUAGUAGAUAUAUAUAGCAUAACAGGCAUUUUUCAGAGGGCCCGUAAGCCUCAAGUCUGAGAUUUUGACUUCAGAAGGAAAGGUUGUAAACUGUUGAGUAAAACACAGAGCAGUAGUCUGCAGAAACCUUUGUCCAGAAAUAGCCUUUUCAGAUCAUGUGCUUUGGCUAGAUAAGACACAUUUGAAUACGAACCUUUAGGCACCAUAUAUUAAGUAGAUACUUGCUGCUUCUUCUUACUGAUUUGUGACAGUGUGUGCCAUCCACUGAAAAACAUGAUUCCUGACAGAAAUAAAGGAUAAUAAUAAAGGCA